UACGUAGGGCGCAAGCGUUGUCCGGAAUUAUUGGGCGUAAAGAGCUCGUAGGCGGUUUGUCGCGUCUGCUGUGAAAACUCGGGGCUUAACCCCGGGCCUGCAGUGGGUACGGGCAGACUAGAGUGCGGUAGGGGGAGACUGGAAUUCCUGGUGUAGCGGUGAAAUGCGCAGAUAUCAGGAGGAACACCGGUGGCGAAGGCGGGUCUCUGGGCCGUAACUGACGCUGAGGAGCGAAAAGCGUGGGGGAGC
rnacentral:rRNA from 1 species